UUUAUUUUUGAUAUUAUAUUGAUUUAAAAAUAUAAAUUAAUUUUCUUUUUUAAAUCUGUUGUAAAGUAAUGCCAAAAAGUGCCUUAACCCCAAUGUAACUCGACGGAUCCUUUCAAAUCAUUAAACAUGCUUUCAUUGUUAUUGUUAUUAUUAGUAUUAUUAUUUACUAAAAUAAAACACUCUGCAGCAAGCAAGCGAAGCUCGAACUUGAUUUCCUGGAGCCAAAAUCAGGUUUGGAUCCUAGCUAUAGGGUUCUUAAAAAAAAGAAGGUAUUAUGGCUCAGGCUUCAGGGAGGAGCGGCAGGGUUGUUGGAGACUACUUGGUGGGUAGACAAAUCGGGUCGGGCUCUUUCUCGGUGGUUUGGCACGCUAGACACCGAGUCCUUGGAACCGAAGUAGCGAUAAAAGAGAUCGUUACGAAUCGACUUAAUAAGAAAUUACAAGAAAGUCUCAUGUCUGAGAUUUUUAUUUUGAAGAGGAUCAAUCAUCCAAAUAUCAUUCGCUUGCACGAUAUUAUUAAGGUUCCGGGGAGAAUACUUAUAGUAUUGGAGUAUUGCGAGGGUGGUGAUCUGUCUAUGUAUAUCCAACGCCAUGGGAAAGUUCCAGAAGCAAUUGCUAAGCACUUCAUGCAACAAUUAGGUGCUGGUUUGCAAAUUCUCCGGGACAAUAAUUUGAUUCAUCGGGAUCUUAAGCCGCAGAAUCUCCUUCUCUCCACGAGUGACAAUAAUGCGGUUCUGAAAAUUGCAGACUUUGGAUUUGCCAGAUCUCUACAACCUCGAGGCCUUGCAGAAACCUUGUGUGGCUCACCCCUCUACAUGGCUCCAGAGAUAAUGCAACUUCAGAAGUAUGAUGCAAAGGCAGAUCUCUGGAGUGUUGGUGCCAUUUUAUUUCAGCUUGUGACAGGAAAAACCCCAUACACUGGAAACAAUCAAAUACAGUUGCUCCAGAACAUUGUGAAAUCAGCUGAAUUGCAAUUUCCUUUCGAUAAUAAGGAUUUGAGUGCUGGCUGCAAAGAUUUAUGCCGGAAAUUGCUAUGUCGCAAUCCAGUGGAACGGCUAACCUUUGAGGAGUUCUUUAAUCACCCAUUUCUUUCUCAAAGGAAAAAAGACGAAUUAUUGAGGUCUUCAAGGUCAGUAGAUGGCUUUCCUUUCACUGGAAGCAGUCCUGCAAGGAAUGCUGAUGACAAUUCUCAGGAGGAUUGCCUGCCUUUCCUUCUGGAUGAUGAUUCUAGUUGUCCUGAGGGUAGCCCUUCUGUUUCUAAGAGGAUGUCCCCAAUGAAGUCUACAUAUGGAUUUUCUCUUGAUUCAAGAAUUGGAGGGAGGGAUGCAACAUCUAAUGUUUUUAAUAAUGUGGAUCUUACUUCCAGAUAUAGUAGUGCCAGACAGAACUUAGAAAAUGCUAGUUUUAGGCCUGGCAUCAAUAAAGCAUCAGAUGAAAAUAUAAAUGAACCUCCAAAAUCCAUAGACCAGAGAUCAGUGAACAUCCGAUCAAGAGUUGUGGAUUCACUGGAUUUGAUAGAUCAAGAUUAUGUUCUUGUUUCUGGACCCCCUUUGAAUGUGUCAUCUUCCACAGCAAGUACUUACAAACCAGGCAAUGCACCAUACAAGUCAGAGGGUCCCUCUCAAGCAUUUACCUACACAAACACUAGGCUAAGUAUCCCGGUGCCCAUAAUUGACACUGCCAACAAUAAUCCUUGCCGCUUUGGAAGCUUGGAAAUUCCGGCCUCUGCUCCUGGGACUUCUGAAGGAUCUUUGGAUAUGGGAGAUGCUUUGGAGCAGCCAUCAACUCACUGCAUGACUAGGAUUAAGUCAUUGCAGCAUUGUGCAUCUGCCAUAAUGGAACUAGUGGUGGAAAAGAUUGAGGCAGGUAGGCAACUAGAAGCAUUUUCGAUCCAACUUGUUAUUCUUGCGAUUUGGAAGCAAGUACUGCACAUCUGCCAUACUCAGGCUGCCUCAGCUAUCGAAGGAAGUCCAAGCCAAGAGAGCUCAAGACUGAGGAAAAGCAGCAGCAGGAAGCAUGGGAACCCUGAUACAGAAGAUUGUCCUGAUGUUGGGCCAGAGAAUAUGUCCACUCAGAUUGAGGCGGAAUUUUUACAGGAAGUUGAGCGGGCAGAGGAACUUGCCAAGGCUAUCGAAACUGGAAGUACGGAGAUGCCUGAUGCAAUGGAGAUGAUAUUUCAAUCUGCCCUUUCUCUGGGAAGACAUGGAGGGGUUGACGAGCUCAUGGGGAAUAUGGAAAAUGCAGCUUUGCUAUAUUCAAGAGCAGGAUGUUUGUUAGUUUUCCUUCUAGUGGAAGCACCAUCUCUUUUUCUCAAUCCUCCAUUUUCUCUCACGAACUCGGAUCGGUAUAGGCUCCGCAGUUACAUAGAUAUCCUUAAUAACAGGCAAGACCAUUCACGAUCCCAAAGGAUGGCACUUCUCAAAUGCGAGGAUCAACGAUGCUCACCAUAGGGUUCGUGAUUUGCAGGAGUUGUGAGAAGGUGGGUGGAUCUAUGAUAUUUUGGAUAGUGUUGGGUUGUAUACUACAUUUUAAGUUUAAACUUUUGCUUACAUACCGUUUGAGUGGCGAUUUUCUGUUUAGCAUCCCCAUGAAACACCGCUUGGGCAGGGUAGCAGGCUUUGUCUGUUUAGGACAUAUUUUGAAAUGCCUUUAUGGAAUUAUGCUAGUAUGGCCAAAGAAAAUUUUAACGGAUAUAUCCUCAUAUCAAUUAGAUCCAGGAAAAAGGUUUCAAUAGUUGAGAUAACAUUUGCCCAUGUAUGAUAUCAUUUUCUUAACUCGGCCCCAUUGGAAUUUAUUGUUCAAUGUUUGGAUUAAACGUGGCAAAUCUGUGUGAUGAAUGGUUUUAAUUUGAAAGAUGAAUGAAUUUGGAUGUUUUUCUCGUAA